AGGGAAUAUUGGACAAUGGGUGGAAGCCUGAUCCAGCCAUGCCGCGUGCAGGAAGAAGGCCUUCUGGGUUGUAAACUGCUUUUGCCAGGGGAUAAAAAAUCUGUGCGCAGAUAAUUGAAGGUACCUGGUGAAUAAGCCACGGCUAACUACGUGCCAGCAGCCGCGGUAAUACGUAGGUGGCAAGCGUUGUCCGGAUUUAUUGGGUUUAAAGGGUGCGUAGGCGGCUUAUUAAGUCAGUGGUGAAAGACGGUAGCUUAACUAUCGAGGUGCCAUUGAUACUGAUGAGCUUGAGUACUGAUGAGGUAGGCGGAAUGGACGGUGUAGCGGUGAAAUGCAUAGAUAUCGUCCAGAACACCGAUAGCGAAGGCAGCUUACUAAGCAGUAACUGACGCUGAGGCACGAAAGUGUGGGGAGCAAAC
rnacentral:rRNA from 1 species